rnacentral:lncRNA from 10 species
CUUGACUUCAAAGAAGAUGUGGGCUACUUUGGCAUCACUAACGAGUAGUCCCAGCCAGCUCGGGGUUGGGGCACCCGGGGUGGGUGAAAAUAAGGGUAAAUCCUACCAGAGAUGAGCACACUCUUCACCAGCCAGUGUCAUGACCUGAGCUGUGCCUUGCUUUCUCACGCUACAGUUUUUCUUCUCCAGUGGUUCCAUUCUGUGAAAUCGGAAAAGUAGCUCAAGCCUGGGAAUUGAUUGAAGGGUUGUGACUCUGUUUUGUGAUUCAAGUUAUACUUCUGUUCACUAGACCUAGAACUCUUCUGUUUACACAGCUCAAGUAAGAAUUAGAUAUACCACAGUGGUCUUUUGCAAAUAUUGUCUCUCAGUCUGUGACUUGUUUUCUCAUUCUCUUGACAGUAUCUGUUUCAGAGCACAAGUUGUUAAUUUUCAUGGAGCCCAAUUUAUUAACUAUUUCAUGAUUGUGUCUUUGGUGUUUUAUCUAAAAAGGCACCACUAAGCCUAAGGUCCUCUAGAUUUUUCCAUAUGUUAUCUUCUAGGAGUUUCAUAGUUUUGCAUUUUACAUUUGGGUCCACAAUUCAUUCUGAGUGUGUGCAUUUGUGUGUCUAUAUCUGUGUGCAUGUCUAUACUUGUGCAUGUGUGUAUCUAUAUGUGUGUAUGUCUAUAUGUGUGUAUGUGUAUGUAUAUGUGUGCAUGUCUAUACAUGUGCAUGUGUGUAUAUGUUUGUGUGUAUAUGUGUGCAUGUGUUUGUGUAUGUGUGUCUAUAUGUGUAUGUAUGCAUGUAUGUGUGUGUCUAUAUAUCUGUGUGCAUGUGUGUGUAUGUCUUCAU